CACGCAGCCUCCUUCUCACAGGCCGAUUCCCCUACAGCCGCCGCACUCCCACGCCCGCCCCCGGUCGCACCCACGCCAAAACCCUAGCGCUCCACUACCGGCCGGCGUCGGCAACGAAGCAGGACGCCCUCGUCUGGCUUCUGCUCCUUCUCCGACCACCACGCGCGACAUGGACCCCCUCGUCGGUGGUCCGGUCCGGUGCUCUCCUCCACGGCUCCGACCCAUCCGCGCCGAGCUCACCCGGCCGUGCCCGCUGGGGAUGUUCACCUGGAAAUUCAUGUACUGAAUAUCAACCAAGGAUGGGCAGCGGCAUGGCGGCUAGACCACGGUGGAGCUGAUGCGGCCAGCCAACGAGCCAUGGCUCCGGGACCCUGACGGUCGGUCGGAUGCCGGUGUCCUUGGGGCCUCGAUCAUCUGCAAGUGCAAGGAGUUCAACCGGAAACAAGCUUGGGGUUGCCUCCAUCCAGUGGCGACAGGGCACCCUCCUCCCCACGUUCUCCUCCUCCGCAGCAGGUUUUCACAAUGCACUGGCUUCGUCCUCGACAGUAACAAGGCCAUGAAAACGCUGAUGCGCGCAAUUUACUUUUAUCUUGACUCCGCGUUGUUGUGUCGUAUGGCAACAGUCGCAAUUUAUAGCCUUCUCGUCAUCAACAAGUCUGGUCACUUAUAUAGUACAAAAGGACUAUGGGUUGGCCUGGAGAAUGGACACCAACGGCAGUCUACAAUUUGCAAGCCACUGGCAUUUGAUGCAUGCUAUCUCGCAUCAGUUGUCCCCUACCAUUGGUUGUAACGGCAUUGAUAUCCUAGGCCUGCAGCUUCGACCUCUAGUACUUCUUCCAAUCUCUCGAAGAGGUGCAGGAAGAGAAAGGUUUGAUCUUUGGCGUCCAUGGCCACAACAUAGCAACCGACUGGAACACGUAGAGCAGAGCUGAUGUGGUCAGCCGACAAGCCGUGGCCCUUGGACCCUCACCAACUCAGCCAUCCUCGGGCCCUUCCUAUGUUGCACGGUUAUAUUUUUUUUCCAGCUGUUCAAUCGGAAACAAGGUGCCAAAUUGGCUUGCAGCCAUCGGACCUGGAGAAAUACUCAGCUAGGUCUGGGGCAUAGCUAUAGCAGUCCGUCCUGAACAUCAGCAGUUUCAGCACUUCUCUGAUGACCACUCCAAAUAUCUUCUGCAGCGGCGUCAGCGGUGAUACAGGGGUGCGUGGGGUUGUCAAGGACAAGGGGACCUACCGCAAGAGGUAAAUGGUUAGUUGCAGCAG